UACGUAGGGGGCAAGCGUUGUCCGGAAUCAUUGGGCGUAAAGCGCGUGUAGGCGGUUACGUAAGUCUGCUGUGAAAGUCGGAGGCUCAACCUUCGAAAGCCGGUGGAUACUGCGUGACUAGAGUACGGAAGAGGAGAGUGGAAUUCCUGGUGUAGCGGUGAAAUUCGUAGAUAUUCGGAAGAACACCAGUGGCGAAGGCGACUUACUGGACACAUAUUGACGCUGAGGUGCGAAAGCGUGGGGAGCAAACAGG
rnacentral:rRNA from 1 species